UACGAAGGGGGCUAGCGUUGUUCGGAAUUACUGGGCGUAAAGCGUGCGCAGGCGGCUUCUCAAGUCAGGGGUGAAAGCCCUGGGCUCAACCUGGGGACUGCGCUUGAGACGGUUUGGCUUGAGGGUGGAAGAGGCUCGCGGAAUUCCCAGUGUAGAGGUGAAAUUCGUAGAUAUUGGGAAGAACACCGGUGGCGAAGGCGGCGAGCUGGUCCAUCACUGACGCUGAGGCGCGACAGCGUGGGGGAGCAAACAGGG
rnacentral:rRNA from 1 species